ACACAGGACACUGCUGCUAACAAGAGCGUAGGCCUGAAUGCCAGGAACAUGGACUCGCGACAUUCAUUUGCAAAAAGGCAAACAUGGAGGUUUUCUCAUCCAGAAAAUGCUGCAGCUUCUACCAGCACCUUGGUAACAUCUAACAGCAAGGAGCGCAGUGUGUAAUGCCUACUCAAGAUAAGAAGCCACAACCCUGAAAAGGAAUUAUCUGAAUACGAAUCCCACUGUUCUCCUGGCAGCCCUGCCCUGGCUUUGCAGCAACAAGAGCACCAAGCAGCUCAGCCAUGACACCAACUACACUUUGCCAAAGUGGUAGAAAAAGAGUUAGAGAAGCAAGCAGGAGCAGGCUGUGGACAGCCCACGUCUGCUGCAGCACAAGUGUAAGAAAAGAAUAUGAUUUGGACUACUGUAAGCCUUUCACCAUCUCCCUCAAGGAAACUGCUGAAGAUAAAAUUACAAAUGCAUUAUAAACCCACUUCCAUACAAUGCAGUGCAUGGUGAUCCAGAACUCUCCGGAGACUUUACAAUAUCGUAAGGAGCAGGAGAAAAGCGUGAGGAGGAAGGAGCAACAAAGAAGAACUCCUGGGCUGCCCGCAGCUUCCCCUCCCCAUCCCUUGUGUCGCUUGUGAGGACAGAAGAGCUGACAGGAGAGAGCAGAGGAACAGGGAACCACAGGACAAGGUUGAGCCUGGGAAGAAGGGAGAACUGGGGCAAGGUGGCUUUAGGUUUGGCUUUGUUUCUUACCAUCAUACUCUGUUUUUCAUUCCCAAUAAAGUAAAUUAAUCUUACUCUUCCUUUACUCUCCCACUGCAUCACCUUUUUCUAACACUGCCACAUGACUUCAGAGUAGAAAUACGGUAAUACAGAUUACCUUUUCACUCUGCAAACUGAUCCAGAAAAAGAAAGCAGCACAAAUAGGUUGCAGAGAUCAUUUUCUCAGGCAGAAAACACUUUCGGGUUGUGAAUUAGGCUGUGGGACAGAUCAUCAGAUGGAUGGAUCCUGUUCAUGAGAAUAUAAACUUUCAAACUAUAUUGUUGGAGAGAAAACUGAACAGCAGAUUCUGUGCACAUUUAAUUUAUGUCAGUUAUGGCAAGUAAUUCAUCUUGAAAAAGUCAUGAAAAGGAAUUACUACCUAAAUACUACAGCUGCAGAUAUAUACCUAAGAAUAAACCCUUACUUCUGUACACAUAGAUUUAAGUUAUAUCUAAGGACUACAAAAAUCCAGCAGUCGUGUAUACAAAGAAGUCUUACAGCAGUUCAUUCCUAAUCGAUCUGAUGUCUGGCUCACACAGAACCUUACCCUUUGGGGGGAAACAAAUACCUUGAGGGAGACAGGUUCUUAGGGAUUUCAGAGGCUACAAAAUGAAGCACUCAGACUGAAACUGCACAUAACAAGAAUGGAUACCUACUGAAACAAAUCAAACAAAUCCACAAAGCUUAUCCUCUCUCAAAGCAUGACUCAGCAACAAAACAAAAGAAGUUGGUGGCUAGAUGGCAGAUGAGAAAGGUGAGGUCAACAGUGUUGCAAAGGCAUUAUUAAGGGGGACUAUGGGAGCAAACUGUAAUCAGGAGGCCUCAAAGUAUCAUGUUUUAUCCAAAACUAGGGAUAGGGGAAGUCCAAGAACAGCAAAGGUCCCAGAGAGGAACUCAUUUUCAAGGGAAACAUGUCUCUUCAGUGAAGGCUCCAAAUACAAAAUAAUCAAAUUAUAGACAACUGAGACUAUUAUGUAAAAUUCUUUCAUGAUUAAAUAACAAAGCAAGAAAUGAAAAACAACCUGAAGGCAUAAUAUUAUAUUUUCUUUCUGACAUCAAAUAUCAAGGCAGAACUCCAAGAGCAGCUUGCUCUGCCAGAGUUACUGCAGAUGAGCAGAUUUAGCUUCCAGUAUCUUCCUUUCAAUACUGGCUCUGAAUUCAGUUACUUAAACUACACAAAACAACUGUCUACUUAUUGUUUUUAUAUACAUAUAUAUACAUACAGGUUUAUGUAUGUUAUUUUGUAUCUAUGUGAGACAUUCUGCCCCUACAAGGUCCUUACUCUGCUUGGUAUUUACUGGACAACUUUUCAUUUUUGUAGGAGAUGAGAAAAUAUUCAUGCAGGAGAAUGAUUAGCAUUUCCAUUACAUGCAGAAUGGAUGGCAGAUCAGGGCUUCAUGCAUUUCCUUCCUCAGUGAAGAGUCUUUGAGAAAUACUCCUUCACUGGUAUAUAUGCUGCUAAACCUCUAUAUGAUGUAUUGGCCAUCUAAAUAUAAUCUUGUUGAUGGUUGUCAAAUGUGCAGUGCUUUGGUGAAGUCAAGAUAAUCUCAAACACCGCAAUCCUUACUUAAAUGAAGAUGUAACACUUAAAAAAAACCCACGUGUAGCACAGGAAACUAGAUUUUCUUUAAUUUAAAAAAAGUUUUACUUACUUUAAAUCUACUUUCUUAAUAUUCUGACUAGCUGCCAUCUACUUGGAUUUCCUGCAUUAAAUUAUUUCCAAAUGUUGUGCACUAGGCAUACUUCAGAGAAAGAACAAGGUAAGGAAAAUGCACAUUCCAUCUCCGGUCAAAUGAAGAACAGCUACAUCAGAAAUAUGACUACAAAGACCACAGAUACAAAUUGAAUCUGUAUUCAUUUUUCAAAAAUGUUUUAAUUUUCCCUCAUUAAAACUGAAGCAAAUUUAGUGCAGUUUAAUUCCAUUUGAAAUCCAAAUGCCUUUGAAAACUUUUAUAACAUCAUUUAAUGGAGCAAGUAUCCUACAUUUUCUUCACUCUUCUGUACUGUUUCCUUCCUUAAGUCAUUCUUAGUAAUUAGCAUCCGAUAAUCUAAAUUUAUAUUUUUCUAAUUUUGAUAUGCAUAUUAUUUCUUUUUUUAUUUUCUUAAAAAAAUCCUCUUUCAUUUCUCUCACACAUUUACCUUUCUAACUUUGUUCUUUGUUACUUGCUAGCACAUACACAUCACUCACUGAGGCACUCAGCUCUGGUGCCUGUUCAGAGAGGAAUGGAGGGCCGAUAUGCUGGCCAGACCUGCCUCAGAGGGAAGUCUGCUGCCUCCCUGGGUUAAAGAUGUUACUAGAAAACAAUUGAUUAAAUGAUCAGGAGCAUGGAUAGUGUUCUCCUUUAUUGCUCCAGUAACAGCAAAUGAUAUUGGAAGAAAAAAGUAGACCCAGUUGAUCAACACAUGAAUCUGAGUCUGGUAUCACUGGUAAAAUUUAUUAUUUUUUUUUUUAAACCACAAUAUGGUCUACCUAUCACUAGGUCUGCUGGAAUCUGACAGGACACAGCCCUGUGUGGGGAAAAUGAGGUUUGGUCACAAUUUAGAAGGGCUCGUUGAAAGAGCUUUAAACUAGAGAGAAAGGGAUAAGAUGAGGCUCACAGCUGACGAGCAUGUGAGAGUUUGAGGAACUAUGUGCUAGUAAAGUCCUUCAGUCUGCUACAUAGAGUUCUACAUUAAUGCAUUCAGCAUGAUAAAUAAUAAAGGGAAUCUCAGUGAUGGAGCGAGAAGCUUCUUCACUAGAGAGUGGUGGGCAUGGAACAGGCUCCCCAGGGCAGUGGUCAUGGCGCCAGGCUGCCAGAAUUCAAGGACCGGUUUGGACAACACUCUCAGAAAUUGGGUUUGAAUUUUAAGUAGUGCUGUGUGGAACCAGAAGUUUCACUUUAUGAUACUUUGAGUUCUUUCCAACACAGAAUAUUCUGUGAUUCGAUGUUUGUAUGUACAUACUUGUAUACCUACUUACACACAUAAAUGCAUGGAGAAAAACCCAUCAGACACUUGUUUCCUGGACUUUCAGUCACUUCCUCUGUUGUUCAUUUUCUCACUAUUUUUCACUAUUUUUUAUCUUUCCACCAUUAAUUGCAACAUGAUUUGUCUCUCUCUCUCUUUUUUUUUUUUUUUUUUCCUUGUUUUUUAAUUUCCUCUCAUUCAUUUUCAUCACUGGUCAACUGCUCCACCAACCACCAUCAGUCUAAGUAGACAAGAAGGUCCUGAAGGAGAUGGUUUUUAGAGAUGCUUUAGUCUGCACAACUGUUAGGUGCUUGGCAUUGGGUUUAAAGGGCAUAAGACCAUCUGUCUCUACACAUAGAAUUAGCACAAGGGCUACAAGAGACAGCUGUUGCAUCAUGCAAGAAAUUGCUAUUGUAUAAGACACUGGAAUAUUAAUGAAGAUCCAGGUGAUCUUCUAAAAUCUGGAUGAACUCAGUUCAACUCCCUCACUCCUCCAUCUCAAAUAACUGAUGUGUCUUAAGAGAAUAAGCCAAGCACACUCUUAACUUCAUAUUUCUAAUAUACAUUGAGUCAAGGAUACAAGUCAAUCACUGAAGACUGGUCUGGCCUCUUACAGUCUCCUGUGAAGUAAACAGUAUUGUCAUCACAUUGCUGGACCAGAAGACUUGUCAGUUUCUACAGAGACCCCUGUGCAAGGCAUAUCCAACAGCUAUUUCCUUGAAUCAUGUUCUCUUACAGCCUCCUAGGCACAAUAUCAACAAAAGUCAAAUGGUACUUUGGAAGCAGCAAAGAAAAAACAGUAUUUUUAUUAUUAUUAUUUCAAACAGAUCAGUUGACUGUCCGAAUGACAGGCAGUACAAACGUGCUGAGAAGAGGAAAUAGCAAGAAUAAUGUACUUGGGCUUCUUACUCUAAACUAACAGUUUUUCUUGCUUCAUUUCUUCAAAAUUAAAAUGGCUUUCCAGUUUAGAUGGCAACAGCUUUAUGGCUCUCAAAAAAAGAAAAGAAGAAGAAAAAGAAGUUGUGAACAAAGUACCACUAAUCUAAUUGUUUCCUUUUUUUUUUUUUUAUUAUUAUUAUUAAGAUAACACUGAAGUGCCUGAAAAUGCCAUAUUAUGUCAUAGGGUAGACUGGACAGUUUGACUGUAAAAGUCCUGAGAAUCUCAACAGUGCUGCCUCUGUAGGGUUUGUUUAUUUGUUUGUCAACACCACUCAUGCUGAAAAUAAAGUUUGUGAACAUUUUUUCUGAGCCACAAGCCUGUGAAAUGCUUAGGAAGAUGAACAAGUAUUUACCUAAGAUUCACAAACCUCCUACUGUCUGUCAGAAAGUGUGCUGGUCUUCUUUACAGCAAGGAAAAAUGUUGCCUGUCUCUAAAAUUACAGUUAUCAAAUUUAUAUCUUAAGAGUCUUAUAGAAAGAAGAUUAGUUUCCACACAGUUUGUGCUAUCAGAUUGUAUUAACAUACAUAGGGAAAAACGUAAUCCAUAAGCUGGCCAAGGGUGCUAUGUUUUCUUCCAUUUGAUCUAAGUGUGUGUGUGUGUGUGUGUGUUCCUUAAACAGCUUUCCUGCUUUGUUUAAAAGCGAGGGGGAAAAAGAAAAGUCAAAAUGAGCAGCAGGCUUGAAAUUCAGAUGUCCAGAGGACUGCUUCAGUAGAUCAAUAGACAAUGCAAUAAAUAGAUAAAUACAUUCAAACUCAGCCCAAUGGACAAGAGAUCAGAGAGUCAGGAGAUAAAAAGGAAUAAAUGAACACCUAAAAUUCCUCAGUGGCAAAGACUGGUCCCAGCUAUCCAACCAUAUCCAACCAGGGGACCAAAGGCUGCACCAAAGCACAAUGGUCAUUACUCUGGGGUGAAUUCAAACUUCUACUGACAGACUACAAGUACCUUUUAUAAAUGGACAACAAGUUAGUCUGUGACUGAGGAGCAAUGAAAUGUUCCUUUACUGAAUUAAUCUCUUACAUGUCCUUUAAAUGUGCAUACACACACAUCAAACAACUUACUUCAAAGCUACUCUGUAUCAUGAAUGUAUACAAGAAGACAGAAUGCUAGUGAUCAUUGUCAAUAAAGAUGUCAAACCUGAGGUCUACUGAAGCUCUUCUAUGCUACUGAAGUAUUUUAUCUGUUUCAGGAAGUCUUUUCAGUCUUCCUCCAGCAAAAUCUUUUCAGUGCCACUGAAUUUCAGGGCUAAUUUGGGAACCUACCUCUAAGCCAUCUGUAACAGUCCCCUUUUAUCACAUUAUUAUUUAACAGUUCAUUGUUCCAAAAGUUUGCAGGUAAUUGGCUUGUUACAUUAGCAAUUACUUUCUUGGGUGUAACUGGGUAUCCCUUCCUAUGUAAUUAAAAUUGCUGGACUAAGGAAAUGAAUACAAGCCAUUAUAAAAAAUGUAAGAUCAGAACCUCUUCAACUUUCAUUUAACCUGGUUCCAGAGACUCCAAGAUUUCCAAUCAGAUCUUAAUUUCUGACUCUGUUUGGACUUUAUCCUUAAUCUGAAGUGUCAGUAGUUAACUCUAUUUCACUUGAAAAAGAUGUAUGAACAAAGCCUCUUUCAUUGCUUCGGUAUUUUAUCAAAGAUAUAAGAGGAAAUCUCCCUGAAAUGCAACUGUGGGGAGAAGAAAGGAGAUUUUAGAAGAGAGUAGGUUGACUUUGAGGCAGAAAAGCAUAUGGACAAAGAUGUAUGGAAACA